rnacentral:lncRNA from 1 species
GGGCGGCGGGACCGGGCACAAAUGGCCUCGUGUGCAGCCGCCCGGCGACCGUGGGACCGUAUCCCUCCGCCGGGCUGCGCGCCGAGAGUUGCGGCCGCCCCGGGGCCGUGCGGGCGGGGGCGGCGCUGCCGCCGGGCUCCCGAGGAGGAGCCGGGCAGGGACGCGCCUCGCUCGUCGCUGCCCCAGCGCCCGCUGGCGUGCCCGCGGUCAGACGGAGCUCCCGAGUUGCCGCCGCCUGGUCGGUCGGCCCCGCGCUUUGUCCCGGCGCAGCCCCUGCCGGCUCCUGGGCACCGCUGCUGCCCCGGCGGGCGGGGGCAGUGUCAGCCCGCCCGGGGCCGGCGCUGGCCGUGUGUCGCCGCCGCGUUCGGCUGCUGUGUUUGUAAAUGGCAGGUUCGCCCUGUGACACGGGCAGUCUGUGUGUGUGAGCUCGGAGAACGCUUCGAACUUUUUCUAGUAUUUCUCCUAACUGUGGCCUUGUCUGAGUCUUGCAAUCUUACCUCUUCUGUGUGUGUGGAAAAUACCCAGCUGUUGGAGAAUUGAAGUCAAGUAUUUUCUUAACACGAGAAUGAAAUGGGGAAGUUGUAGAGCUUUGAGAGUAACUUGGCGCAGUUGUCUCAUUUGCUGCCGGAAAUAAGACUAAAUCUCAAGAAUUCAUGUAAA